AUCUUUGCGCAGUGGCAGUAUCGUAGCCUAUGAGGUUUAUCCGAGGCGCGAUUAUUGCUAGUUGAAAACUUUACCCAAUACCCCGCCUGGACGACUUGAAAUAUAGUCGGCUGUGGCAAUUUUUUACGGUCUCUAAGGAGC
rnacentral:snRNA from 1 species